GUGAGAGCAAAUUAUCCGAAAUAACUAGCUUAUUUAUUAGAUAUGUAGUAUAAGCUGGCUGCUCAUAUGUCUGCACAAACAUAUGCACUCAAAUAGCAUUCCACUUGAUUUUGUGUUAACCAAACUAAUUCUUCCAUUAUCCACAACUGGAUUCUCUCCAAGGAAUUCUAACGUUAGGCUCUUUGAACGCGAUCCUCGAGUGCUUUGAGUGGUAGCAGUUGGUUCCUCAAGUAGAUGCAGGAACUUUCCAUCCUAGUGGCAUGGGACCAACAUCAUAGAUGAUUUCUCUGUGGCAAGACCAUACAAGUUUAAUAGCUUCUGGAGUACCUAUUCCGGCUCCUCUGGGGUCCCCGGCAGGACCAAACCAGUGAUUCUGGGGAGCCCCUGUUGUUCUUGCUCUCAAUCCAGCAUAAGUGGUUCCAUUAACUGAAUUUCCAAUCACUUUUUGCAGGAACAAUAUAUCAUUGGAAACCACAGCAGCUGUUAAAUGUGCAUGCAUCUUUUCAAGGGCAUCGAGGACCAGUGGAAGCUGAUUAUCUUUGUACUCAGUCACAACCUGGAAUGGCCCAAAAAUCUCUUUGGUCACGAGAGGAUAAUGUUCAUCUUUGAGUAUUUCUUCAAGAGGUACAAAAAUAGCAGUGGGCUUAAUGGCUCCAUAAAUUUUUGGGAUCGAAUGGUUCUGUAAGGCUUCACCACCAAAGAGCAAUCUCGAUCCAGGUAUCUGAAGUAAUUUCUUCGCAUGGUCCAGCAUUGUUUCAGUUGUAACCGUAAGGACAGGACCAAUAGUUAAAUCAUCUAACUUUCUUCUUGCAGCAAGCUCGGUCAUUUUGUCUAAGAGAGAACUUUUACUCCAAUUCUCAUGCAUGAACAAUAUUGAUUCAGCUGAACACUUCUGACCACUACAUGCAUAUGCAUCUUGGUCACAAACCCAUGCAACGUAAUCCACCUCAUUGACAUCGGGCCCAAGGAUCUUCCAGUCGAAUCCAGCAUCUUCUAGUUUGACUCGACCGCUUAGGUCAUCAGCUAACUUCUCUGCCACCCUUGAGCUACCUGUGAAGAGAGUCAUGCGUGGUUUUGCCUCCACGAGUAGCUUGUUCAUUGUCUUUCCAUCUGAGUUUAUGAAAUCCACAUCAUCCACAGGUAACCCACACUCAUGAAGUAGUCGAAGCAUUUGUUCCAUAACAAUGCAUACCUUGCUAUCAACUUUAAGUACUGGCUUAUUUCCCAUAUACAACGCUCCCAUCAGCUGAAGCAAAGGAAUCUCCAAAGGAAAAUUAAAGGGAGCAAUAACCGCUACAGGUCCAUAAGGCCAUCGGAAACCAUGGCUCUGCUGCCCCAGAUGAUUUCCUGGUACUGCAAAAGAUCUAGCUAGAAAGCGAACCUGAUCACCACAGAAAUUUUCCAGAAAUUUCUGCGUCACGAGAACUUCAACAAGAGCUUGUUGGUAACUCUUAGGAGACACCCUUUGUAUUAGCUUCGCAAAGAAAUCAGAAACCUCAGGCAAGCCAAGCGCAUGAGCUGCUUUUGUAGAUACGUCUCCUAACAUUAAGUACCUUUCUGGUGCUUUGAAUGGAUUAUGUAGACCAUGUUUCGG
rnacentral:misc_RNA from 1 species